GCAUAUUAUGAUGAGGAUGCGGGCUCCAAAAGAAGGUCCAUGUGACCCUAUUGCUCCUCUCAAAUGGAUAUUUUUUGCUUGCUUUUAUAUGAAUGUUUCUCUUCUUAUUCAGGCUUGCUUAUUCACGAGGUAGCCAAUAUACUUAGCAGUUAUUUUCUAUUUUAUUUAUGUGUCUUUGUUCCUUGCUUUGAUUUUGCAUUUAUGUGAUAGAUUGCAAAACCUUGUUAUGUGCAAGCUAAAAAUCAAGGAUUCAAUAUCACAGUGGAGUGAUUUCUAUGACACAUGGGUCCUUUUUUUAACUUUUAAAACAAUUGCAUCUGCAUGUGACACUUGUUGAACUAAAAACUUUCCCUCUUGUUUAAAGAUUCAGAGUCUUUUUUUUUUUUUCAUUAUGCUUGUAAGUUUAAAAAUUGGGAUGGCAAUCAGGUGUUUAAUGGAGUUGUUGAUAAAAAUUCAGGGCUGUUUUUAAGCUUUCCUUGGUUCUAUUUAUGUUUUGUUAUGACUUGUUUAGAUUGAGAAUUUAGGUUUUGGGAUUUUGAAAAAUGGUUUCGCUAUCUCAUUCUCUAGUUGUAAUUCUGAAAAACGAGUUUCAGAUCUUCUUUGGAUGCUGAUUCAAGUGACAUGCAUUUGUUUUGUUCAAACUGAAAUCAAAAUCGUAUUGAAAAACACAAUAUUAUGUUCUACAAAUCUUUCUACUGAAUUCCAAAUAAAAUAGAACAUGAAUAACUUGUAUAGGGUAAUUUAAUGUGCUCUCAGCUUUAUUUUGUUUUCAUGGGAGUUUUUGAUGUUGGUUCUUUGCUAGGCACUUAUUUUUGCGAAAGAAUUAGCUAUGCCUGGAAAUGGAGAGAAAGAGUCAAAUUUGAGCAAGAAAAACGCUCACAAACUCAAUGAUUUAUAAGGUCGUUGAGCAUGGUCUGGGACAUCUGCCAUUUACAGAAAAACAGGUGGUUACUCCAACUGAUCAGAUGAGAAGUCAGCAUGUAUAGCAAUCUGCAACAAAAUGGGAUUAAAGGGAUAUCAGAUUGGGAAAACAAAGGUAUUUUUAAGAGCUGGGCAGAUGGCUGAACUAGAUGCAAGGAGAAGUGAAAUCUUGGCUAAUGCAGCAAGACGAAUACAAAGACAAAUCCGAACAUAUCUAACCAGAAAGGAAUUUAUUUCCCUAAAAAGAGCUACAAUAAAUAUGCAGAAAUAUUGGAGAGUAUGAACAAAUGAGAAGGGAAGCUGCUUCAAUUCGCAUACAGAAACACCAGCGUACCCAUAUGGCAAGAAAAUUAUACACAAAACUACAGGCAUCUGCAAUUGUUAUCCAGACUGGAUUACGAGCAAUGGCAGCUAGAAACAAUUUCAGGCAUAGGAGAAGAACCAAGGCUGCAACUUUGGUUCAGACAAGGUGGAGAAGACACCAUGCUCUUUCUACUUAUAAACAUCAAAAGAAGGCCACUCUUUCACUUCAAUGUCUUUGGAGAUCAAAGGUUGCGAGGAAGGAACUUAGAAAGCUCAAAAUGGGUUCAAGAGAAAUAGGUGCACUCAAGGAAGCUAAGGAGAAGUUGGAGAAGCGUGUUGAAGAGCUUUCAUGGAGACUAGAAUUUGAAAAGCAUUUGAGGAUUGAUCUUGAAGAAGCUGAGGGGCAAGAAAUUGCCAAGUUACAAAGCACAUUACAUGAAAUGCAAGAGAAGUUAGAAGAACCCAUGCUGCAGUCAUUCAUGAGAAAGAAGCAGCAAAGUUAGCAAUCGAACAAGCUCCACCAGUCAUAAAGGAGGUGCCAGUAGUGGAUGAUACUAAACUAGAAAUACUGAGAAAACAGAAUGAAGAACUAGUACACAGAUAAUUACACAUAUACACACACAUACACGCUUUAAGCAGGCAUGUAAGUGAGUUUAUUCCCCACAAUAAUUCUGGUGGAUGAGUUGGCACAUUGAUUAUAAUAUUUUCAUUAACCUAUAAACUAUUUUUCUUUCAAGAUAACAAAUGAAAGUGGUGGCAAGAACUUUUACUCUGUUCUGGGAUAGAUUUAGUACCAAAACCAAUAUAAAUGUCUGCUUCUAUGUUGGUUUUCUGCUAGCAUGAACUGAAGUCUUUAUAAAGCAUAUGCAAGGAUUUGAAUAUGCAGGGAUUUGACAAUUGUUAUUUAACAUUUGAAAUUGCAGACAACCUGCUGGCUGGGUUUGAAUAUGCAGGGAUUUGACUAUUUAUUUAAUGACUUGGUGCAGGAUCUAAAUAGAUUUAUUGAUGAGAAGAGUGAAAGCAGAGGAGAAAAAAUUGAGCGGGUAUUGGGAUAUGAUGUGAAGAAUGUGAAAGCACUUUACAAUAAUUAAUUGUUACAUCAUAGAAGAGGGAUCAUAGAAUAUAUAUAUUGAUUGUUGUAUGUUCAUUUGAUUUUGAUCAGCAGUAGCAGUUUUAUAAGCUUAGGACACAAGUAAUCCCUGGAUUAAGGUACUGUAUCAGCUUGCAUAUAUUAUGAUUCUUGAACAAUUUUUUCCCUACAUUAAGUCAAUGUUGUAGAUUGAUGGUCAUGGAGAUUAAUUGUCAUUGGAAGCCUACUUUUUUAUGUUAAAUUUCUAAAAAAUUUACUAUGAAAUGUAUUGUUAUGAACUUAUGGCAUAUACUAUGGUGGAAGUUCAGUACAUUUCGAAGAGCUAUAACUAGUAGCCCAUAAUCUGGCUAAAUGGGCAAGAAGAACAGGUGCCAUGGAGAGCUGAACAAUGAACAUAUCCCUACAUGCAUAUUCCAAGACCACAAGGAGUUUGAGCAAGGUGACAUUACUAAAGCUGCAGAAGCUGCACUAAAGUUGGAGCGUGAAAGAUUAAAAAUGUUGGAAGAAUUGGAUGAAGGAAACAAGGCAUUAGGAUUGAAUGUAAAUAAGAAGGUUUCUACUGGUGUGAAAAAGUUAUUGAGGGAAUCAUCUGGCCAGUACAGCGACUUCAGUAUUCUUUAAAUUCUCAGUGUGUAGAUGUGACUGGAGCUUACAGUUCUCUAAAGACGGAGCUUAACAUAAGCUUGACAGCAAUAGGCCUUUUGUGGACUACAACUGGCUUUAUUGCAAAGAGGAUUACACAUAGACCUGUGGAAGAAAGGGAAACAAGAAAGGGAAACAGGUAUAUGACAAAUGCACAACAAAUGGACUCACAACAAAGACAAGUGCAUAAAGGAUGAUGAAUUGAAGGAUGGAGCAAGUUUCAUGCAUGGUUUAUUUUGUGUAUCUUUGCAACCCAGUCAUGGGUGCCUGAACACGCACGUUCAUGCUGCGUGUCCGAGAAUUCAGGGAUAUAUCAGACACGUGAUUUCUGAUAUAUGCACGUUUACAUUGCGUGGUUGACUUCAUAAGGGGUCACAGCUUCCAACUCCAGCUCGUGCCUUGGGCUGGAUGCCUUCUUGGCCUGCGGUCUUCAUAUCUAUGACUCGGC